rnacentral:lncRNA from 1 species
AUCGAAGCUGUUGAAGCAUUCCUCCCUCACGCCACCUGAGAGAAAAAAGAGAGAAACACGUUUAGUUUCAUCAUGCGCAUACAUACAUACAUCCACGUCUUUGUAGCCGCCCCGAGACUAGCGUUACGUCACAUGGAGGUUGCUUUGUCUGGCUGCGACUGGCAAAGAUUCAAGCGUUACCUCCGUAUUCGCGAUCCCCAAGAAGAACUUGCUCAUAGUCUUCCCUCGAGGAACGAUCCAUCGAUCCAUCGACUUGCUCGACGGAGAGCGAGAGCGCAGCGCACAGAACAGCAAGAACCUGAGGUGAGGCAACGGUAGUAGUAAUUGCUCUCUACGAAAAGGAGCAAAAAGCGUAAAAGAACCGCGUACCUUCGUACUAGCAUGGCGAACAAGCCAGUUCCAUUGCUACCAGCAGCUGUGAUGACGACGCUCCUGGCAGUAGCCGGAAUAGCUUGGACGCUUCUCAG